rnacentral:rRNA from 1 species
UACGGAGGGUGCGAGCGUUGUCCGGAAUCAUUGGGCGUAAAGGGCGCGUAGGUGGCCCGCUCAGCGUGCGGUGAAAGCUCGGGGCUCAACCCCGAGUCGGCCGUGCGAACUGAGUCGCUUGAGCACUGUAGAGGCAGGCGGAAUUCCGGGUGUAGCGGUGGAAUGCGUAGAGAUCCGGAAGAACACCGGUGGCGAAGGCGGCCUGCUGGGCAGUAGCUGACACUGAGGCGCGACAGCGUGGGGAGCAAACAGG